GGCUAAGGUAGUUGUGGAGGGGAUGCUUAGAAUAUUUAAAUCAGGAUGGAGUUGAUAUAGUUUGGAUAUUGUCCUCUCCAAAUCUCAUGUGGUAAUAUGAUCCCCAGUGUUGGAGGAGGGGUCAGAUGGGAUAUGAUUGGAUCAUGGCAGGAGAUACCUCAUGAAUGGCUUAGCAUCUUCCCCUUGUUGGUAAGUGUAUUCUUGGUCAGUUAGUUCACACAAGAUCUGUUUGUUUAAAAGUCUAAGACCUUCCCCCUAACUCUUGCUCCCAUUCUCACCAGGUGAAAUGCCUGCUCCUGCUUCACCUUCUGCCAUGCGUAAAAGCUCCCUGAGGCCUCACCAGAAGCUGAGCGUAUGCCAGUGCCAUCCUUGCACAGCCUGCAGAACUGUGAGCCAAUUAAACCUCUUUUCUUUAUAAACUACCCAGCCUUAGGUGUAUCUUCAUAGUGAUGCAAAAAUGAUCUAACACGAGGGUAGUGUUUUUACAUCCAUGGAUUUACCAGUCAUGUGGUAUGUAAUAACAUAAUUUUGCCUUGUCACGCAUACUGUGACUUAGGUGGAGAGAGAGAAAACCGAUUUUUUCUGUGAAAAGUGAUUCAAGAAAGAAAGUCAUCAGUUCAGAAAUUUAUACCAUGGAAAUUACUAGAGAUCUCUUCAAAGACUUAUUUCCAAGGAUAUGGACUGAAGUAUUUUUUAUAAAUCCGGGAAAUAAUUGAAAUGUAGCACAAAAUGGAUCAGAUCUCCAGGGAUCAAGGAAAGGAGAGGUCACAUCUGCUUGUGGACAAUGAGGAAAUUGCCUCUGGAAAGGCUGGCAUUGGAGAUGCCCUUCGACGAAUCAGCGAUAGAGAAAAGAGGGAGGACAGAAGGAGAGAGAAGAGAUGGAGAGCUGGCUCCUUUUGAUGCUAGGCUCAGAGAACAUUCAAGAUAGUAACAGAUUGAUGCUGCUUCUGAAACCCAAUUUAAAGCAAGAAGGAGUGGGUGCCUGUUUUGUCCUGAAGCUGGAACCAGGUGAGUCACCGUAUUCCCUGUGGUCAAUUUCCUGGGAGAUUAUCAUCUUGAGGAGGACAGAUGAAUUACCUUCCAAGGAGGCAUCCAAGAUUCAGGGCUGUUUUUUCCAGCGCCACCGAGUCCCAGGGAUCGUUUGAGUUCUCCAUUGAAGACCCUUAUUGAGGAGCAAAACUUUUUCUCUGUGGAUUUCCCACAUCAUCUUGGCUUGAGAGAAAAUAUAGUAGUUUUAGGCAGUUUGUGAUUCCAGAGGUGUCGUGAAAGACAUUUCCAAAUACAUUUUGGGAUGUUGCUGGAUAAAUCUAACUCCUGCCUUCGCUUUGACCCCACCCCAGGAUCACUGGGAGGCAAGGCUGUACUGCGGCUGUGUGUCUUCACAGCAUCUCAACCUCCUCUCCCACAUCUAGUUCUUCACCAGUAUCCAAGGCUUCCAUGCUGUCUGGUGUGGCCUGAGGACCGGUGUGACCACACCCCCUGUCCUCCCCAAGCAUGCCCCUGCCGUGUCCUGUCCAUCCUCUGCCCCUGAUUGGCACUGACCCCUUCUACCUCAGCCUCAGUGCAAGGACAUUGAGCCAGGAGCAGCAGAUGGGGAAGCCAAUGUGAGGAUGGGGAUAAUGAGGCCUGGUAUGGUCUUUUGUCCAGCAGCUCUCCCCUGGGUGACCACCCUGAAGUGGACGUCAUUUCUGAUCUAGGUGGAAGAGUAAGACAUAAAGGACAACUGGAGUGAGGGGGCAGGAGGCUGUCCCCGCCAGACAGUGGUGUUUGUAGCAGAAGCUCUUCUCUAUAAGGGGAAGGUGGACGCACCAGGAUCUUGACUGUAUUUUCCAGCUGAGUCUUCCUGAUUCGGACACGUCUUAAAACUUUAGACUUUUUAGAGCAUUGGUUUGGCGUGAUGGAGCCCACGUGUAAUUUACAUAAAAGUAAUAAAUGGUUCAUUGAAACUACAGUUACACACAAUGUAACACUGAGUUUUAAAAAGUCCCAGAAAAUGAUAUACCCUGUGAAAUACUUUUUAUAAAAGCAACUAAAGUGAAACAACAUUUUCUUUAAAAAAAAUAUAUGUUUUAAGACUAUAUGCAAACUAAAAAGGAAAAUGUUAACCCAGGUGUGGGGGUGUGGCCUGUAGUCCCAGCUACUUGGGAGGCUGAGGCAGGAGGAUGAUUCAGUUUGAGGCUAGCCUGGGCAACACAGCAACAGCUUGUCUUUUUUUAAAAAAAAGGAAGAAAGAAAAGAGAGGAAAAAAAGGAAAUGUUAAACCUUUGGUUAAGUUAGUUUUGGAGAGGCGGGGAGAGUGUGGAAGAGUCGUAUAUGUGUAGAUAUAAAUUAUUCCUAGCAUUUUGGGUUUUGUGCUCAUAAUGUAUUCACAGAUAUUUAUUAUAUUAGAUUAUUAAAAUAAUAUAAAUUAUUGUAACACAAAUGAAAUUGUAUGGGCCAAUUACAAAAAUGAGUUAUUGAUCUAGUUAGCAUUUAUUCAUAUGCCCAGUAGUGUUCUAAGCAGUUUAUAUAUACCAUCGACUCACUGAAUCCUCAAAACAGUCCUAUAAGGUGGGAUUAUUGUUAUUUCUACUUUCAUGAGGAAAUGGAGGCCCAGAGAGGUCAAGCGCAAUACCACACAGCUGAGUGGGAAUUCUAACCUAGGCUGCACAUCUCCAGAGUUCUGCUCUCUUAACCACAAGGGUUGUGAAUGAUGUACUUCUGUGAACCCAAGGUUCAUAAAGAAAGAGGAACAAGUUACCUGAAGAAACUGGCUACCUAAGAAACAAGAAUCAGGUAGAGUGUGCAGGGAAGGAGGGGUGUGUGGCCUUAGUCUGGGAGAAAAGCAGGUGGUUUAGUCUAGGCUGUGUCGGUUGGUUACCCUCUUCCCUUCCAGGCAAAAUACUCGAAACUUAGCAAGACCUUACUGUGUUGAUUCUAAUAGUGGGGAUUUUGGGGGACACGGCAGACUGAUGAGAGACCAUCUAUUGACUGUGUGAGUCUUCGAGCUCUCUUCGUAUCAUAUUGGUGAUCUGGCUGCUGGCUACAUGGAGUUACUGCCCCUUUUUGUUUUGCCUCAAGAGUUAUCAUCUAUUAAGCAAAUACUGACUUCUUAAAUUAAAUUGCAAUGUCUCUUGCAACAGGAGUCACUAUUUGUUUGAUAGCUUAUCUGGUGACUAAGUACAGUGAGGUGGCUAGUCUGUCCUUCAACAAGACCUAGCACGGAAGUCUCCUUUUCCUUUAAGGAAGAGAUUCUCAGAGAGUCAUUUCCAGAACAGUAGGACGAACAUCCUUUGGGAAAUUUUUAGAAAUGCAAAUUCCUGGGCCUUGCCUCAGUCCUACUGAAUCCAAAGACACGGAGGUGAGAGCCAAUCCCACCAGUGGUAGGCUGGUGAAUGUUUAACAAGGGGCUCUUUAAAAAAAAUGCACAUAAAAUUUAUGUAUGUAAAUUUUGCUGAUACAUUGAAUGUGUAGCACAUAAUUUACAAAUAAUAAAAUAUUCUGUAUUCCUCACUAUGAAUGUUAUGUAGCCAAUUGGCUUUCACUGUUUUUUGUCAAACUCUUGUAUCAGGGACAACCUAUGGUUGCAAUUGAUGAAUGAGUGUAAUUCCAACAUUCCAAACACAAUGUUGAUAUUUGUGUUUAUAUUAAGAAGCAGGAUGAAAGUGAAACAAAAUGAAGACAUAUGUCACAAUGUCACUUGUUUUAUCAGUGAUGUAAGCAAUUUCUUUGCUGAAUCAGAUAGUAGUUUUCAAAUGUUGGAAGACUAUUUUCUCAACUUGUUUUUUCUAUUGACAAUAUAAUAGCUACAGGCUAAUAUUUUGAAAGCUAAUCUGUAUUUUUACAAUUUUUCAACAAUUUCUUAAGUCUAGACCUUCAACAGAGUAAUAAAUCAAGCCCAUUUGCUCAUUUCUGUGGUGUCAAUAUUUCUAUCAUGGCCAGUUUCAAGCCACAGCAUGACACCGCUUAACAAGGAGUUAGAGAGAGGUGUGUUGCCCCA
rnacentral:lncRNA from 1 species